UGACCGCUGGCGGUAGGCCUACCACAUGCACGUCGACCGGCAGCACAGUAAGAGCUUGCUCUUACGGGUGGCGAGUGGCGGACGGGUGAGGAAUACAUCGGAAUCUACUUUUUCGUGGGGGAUAACGUAGGGAAACUUACGCUAAUACCGCAUACGACCUACGGGUGAAAGCAGGGGAUCUUCGGACCUUGCGCGAUUGAAUGAGCCGAUGUCGGAUUAGCUAGUUGGCGGGGUAAAGGCCCACCAAGGCGACGAUCCGUAGCUGGUCUGAGAGGAUGAUCAGCCACACUGGAACUGAGACACGGUCCAGACUCCUACGGGAGGCAGCAGUGGGGAAUAUUGGACAAUGGGCGCAAGCCUGAUCCAGCCAUACCGCGUGGGUGAAGAAGGCCUUCGGGUUGUAAAGCCCUUUUGUUGGGAAAGAAAAGCAGCAGGUUAAUACCCCGCUGUUCUGACGGUACCCAAAGAAUAAGCACCGGCUAACUUCGUG
rnacentral:rRNA from 1 species